UGGGGAAUCUUGCGCAAUGGGCGAAAGCCUGACGCAGCCAUGCCGCGUGAAUGAUGAAGGUCUUAGGAUUGUAAAAUUCUUUCACCGGGGACGAUAAUGACGGUACCCGGAGAAGAAGCCCCGGCUAACUUCGUGCCCG
rnacentral:rRNA from 1 species